GGGUUGUGAGGUUAAGCGACUAAGCGUACACGGUGGAUGCCCUGGCAGUCAGAGGCGAUGAAGGACGUGCUAAUCUGCGAUAAGCGUCGGUAAGGUGAUAUGAACCGUUAUAACCGGCGAUUUCCGAAUGGGGAAACCCAGUGUGAUUCGUCACACUAUCAUUAACUGAAUCCAUAGGUUAAUGAGGCGAACCGGGGGAACUGAAACAUCUAAGUACCCCGAGGAAAAGAAAUCAACCGAGAUUCCCCCAGUAGCGGCGAGCGAACGGGGAGCAGCCCAGAGCCUGAAUCAGUGUGUGUGUUAGUGGAAGCGUCUGGAAAGGCGCGCGAUACAGGGUGACAGCCCCGUACACAAAAAUGCACAUGCUGUGAGCUCGAUGAGUAGGGCGGGACACGUGGUAUCCUGUCUGAAUAUGGGGGGACCAUCCUCCAAGGCUAAAUACUCCUGACUGACCGAUAGUGAACCAGUACCGUGAGGGAAAGGCGAAAAGAACCCCGGCGAGGGGAGUGAAAAAGAACCUGAAACCGUGUACGUACAAGCAGUGGGAGCCUCUUUAUGGGGUGACUGCGUACCUUUUGUAUAAUGGGUCAGCGACUUAUAUUCUGUAGCAAGGUUAACCGAAUAGGGGAGCCGAAGGGAAACCGAGUCUUAACUGGGCGUUAAGUUGCAGGGUAUAGACCCGAAACCCGGUGAUCUAGCCAUGGGCAGGUUGAAGGUUGGGUAACACUAACUGGAGGACCGAACCGACUAAUGUUGAAAAAUUAGCGGAUGACUUGUGGCUGGGGGUGAAAGGCCAAUCAAACCGGGAGAUAGCUGGUUCUCCCCGAAAGCUAUUUAGGUAGCGCCUCGUGAACUCAUCUCCGGGGGUAGAGCACUGUUUCGGCAAGGGGGUCAUCCCGACUUACCAACCCGAUGCAAACUGCGAAUACCGGAGAAUGUUAUCACGGGAGACACACGGCGGGUGCUAACGUCCGUCGUGAAGAGGGAAACAACCCAGACCGCCAGCUAAGGUCCCAAAGUCAUGGUUAAGUGGGAAACGAUGUGGGAAGGCCCAGACAGCCAGGAUGUUGGCUUAGAAGCAGCCAUCAUUUAAAGAAAGCGUAAUAGCUCACUGGUCGAGUCGGCCUGCGCGGAAGAUGUAACGGGGCUAAACCAUGCACCGAAGCUGCGGCAGCGACGCUUAUGCGUUGUUGGGUAGGGGAGCGUUCUGUAAGCCUGUGAAGGUGUGCUGUGAGGCAUGCUGGAGGUAUCAGAAGUGCGAAUGCUGACAUAAGUAACGAUAAAGCGGGUGAAAAGCCCGCUCGCCGGAAGACCAAGGGUUCCUGUCCAACGUUAAUCGGGGCAGGGUGAGUCGACCCCUAAGGCGAGGCCGAAAGGCGUAGUCGAUGGGAAACAGGUUAAUAUUCCUGUACUUGGUGUUACUGCGAAGGGGGGACGGAGAAGGCUAUGUUGGCCGGGCGACGGUUGUCCCGGUUUAAGCGUGUAGGCUGGUUUUCCAGGCAAAUCCGGAAAAUCAAGGCUGAGGCGUGAUGACGAGGCACUACGGUGCUGAAGCAACAAAUGCCCUGCUUCCAGGAAAAGCCUCUAAGCAUCAGGUAACAUCAAAUCGUACCCCAAACCGACACAGGUGGUCAGGUAGAGAAUACCAAGGCGCUUGAGAGAACUCGGGUGAAGGAACUAGGCAAAAUGGUGCCGUAACUUCGGGAGAAGGCACGCUGAUAUGUAGGUGAAGCGACUUGCUCGUGGAGCUGAAAUCAGUCGAAGAUACCAGCUGGCUGCAACUGUUUAUUAAAAACACAGCACUGUGCAAACACGAAAGUGGACGUAUACGGUGUGACGCCUGCCCGGUGCCGGAAGGUUAAUUGAUGGGGUCAGCGCAAGCGAAGCUCUUGAUCGAAGCCCCGGUAAACGGCGGCCGUAACUAUAACGGUCCUAAGGUAGCGAAAUUCCUUGUCGGGUAAGUUCCGACCUGCACGAAUGGCGUAAUGAUGGCCAGGCUGUCUCCACCCGAGACUCAGUGAAAUUGAACUCGCUGUGAAGAUGCAGUGUACCCGCGGCAAGACGGAAAGACCCCGUGAACCUUUACUAUAGCUUGACACUGAACAUUGAGCCUUGAUGUGUAGGAUAGGUGGGAGGCUUAGAAGUGUGGACGCCAGUCUGCAUGGAGCCGACCUUGAAAUACCACCCUUUAAUGUUUGAUGUUCUAACGUUGACCCGUAAUCCGGGUUGCGGACAGUGUCUGGUGGGUAGUUUGACUGGGGCGGUCUCCUCCUAAAGAGUAACGGAGGAGCACGAAGGUUGGCUAAUCCUGGUCGGACAUCAGGAGGUUAGUGCAAUGGCAUAAGCCAGCUUGACUGCGAGCGUGACGGCGCGAGCAGGUGCGAAAGCAGGUCAUAGUGAUCCGGUGGUUCUGAAUGGAAGGGCCAUCGCUCAACGGAUAAAAGGUACUCCGGGGAUAACAGGCUGAUACCGCCCAAGAGUUCAUAUCGACGGCGGUGUUUGGCACCUCGAUGUCGGCUCAUCACAUCCUGGGGCUGAAGUAGGUCCCAAGGGUAUGGCUGUUCGCCAUUUAAAGUGGUACGCGAGCUGGGUUUAGAACGUCGUGAGACAGUUCGGUCCCUAUCUGCCGUGGGCGCUGGAGAACUGAGGGGGGCUGCUCCUAGUACGAGAGGACCGGAGUGGACGCAUCACUGGUGUUCGGGUUGUCAUGCCAAUGGCACUGCCCGGUAGCUAAAUGCGGAAGAGAUAAGUGCUGAAAGCAUCUAAGCACGAAACUUGCCCCGAGAUGAGUUCUCCCUGACCCUUUAAGGGUCCUGAAGGAACGUUGAAGACGACGACGUUGAUAGGCCGGGUGUGUAAGCGCAGCGAUGCGUUGAGCUAACCGGUACUAAUGAACCGUGAGGCUUAACCUUACAACGCCGAAGCUGUU
rnacentral:rRNA from 1 species